ACCCCCAGACGUAGUGUAACCCUACCCUAGUGUUGGUGGGCAGCCGAACGGCUGGCCGCUUCUUGCGUAUUGCGUGGUACCGGGCAGCGCUUGGCGCGCCCGACAAGUCAUUCGCGCUCGGACGGUGAAGCAGUGUACACCGCGCGCGUCAAGUGCAAUCCGUUAAUCGCGAGCCAAGCCAAGUGAGCAGAACCGUGAGCCAAGUCCACCGCACGUGUUUCGAGUUAAACCCUUCCUGAUUAUCUGGAGGCAGCGUGGUGAGCGUGUGAACGACGCUGGUGCUAGCAGUGCUCAAGCCAACAACGAGCCGGAGACAAUCCACGAAUCGAACAUGAGGCCUCCGACACACUUCGGCAACGACAUUACCAACACCGAGGCCAACGGUGACGAGCAGCAGAACAACCAGAACAACCAGAACAACAAUGGAGGCGGAAACAAUAACAACGGCGGUGGUGGAAACAACACGGACUUUAUCGUCGAGCGGCUCACGCAAAUGGGGGCCACGAUGAUGUUCCCGAAGAUUGCGGGCCGCGGCAUUAUCCGGGUCGUCGAGCGCUGUGACGACGCAAAGGAGAACAGUAAUCUGGACCUCUCCGAAUGCGAGCUAAUACAGGUACCGGACGCAGUUUACCAUCUGAUGAGACACACCGAACUGAAAUCAUGUGAUCUGAGCGGAAAUGUGAUAACGAAAAUUUCACCAAAAUUCGCCGUAAAGUUCAGCCUUAUCACAGACCUCAAUCUGUCCCACAAUCAGAUGUCGAAACUGCCCGACGAGCUGGCCGACCUGCAGUCGCUGACGACGCUGGACAUUUCCCACAACUCGUUCAUCACCCUGCCCACGGUAGUGUUCAAAAUGCCAAACCUUCGUGAGCUGCGGGCCAACAAUAAUGCCAUCAUCGACAUCGAUCGCGAUGAGAUCAUUGCUUCCGACUCGCUCGAGCUGGUCGAUCUCCGGCACAAUCCCCUCACGCCAAUGUGUCACGAUCUGCUGAAACACGCGCACGUCUCGUUCCGGAUCGAACUGUCCGAGCGGGAGAAGGAAGAGUGGGAAGAUCUGAUCAUUUGAGCGGUCCGCUCAUCGCUGCGUGCUUUUCCUGCCUUCAAGCUGCAUCUUUACACUAGCGACAGCUACAAAUUAAGUUGCCCGCCCCCCCGCGGUAUGGUCAGAUCCUGCGUGAUAGUUGGGACUAGGAGAGGAUAGUGACGAAUCUGGAUCUUGGCUGUUAUGUUUAGAGAUUAAGGGAGAGUACUCGCUUCGUGACUACACACUGGCCCGCUCUUUGUAUGGCUUCAUUUAGUGCGUAACUAGGGCAACCGAUGGUAUUACUUCGUUCGAGCAUGGAACGUUAUGAAUCGCACCCAGAGCCAGGUCUUUCCCUUUCGAAACUUUCCUUUGCCCGUCCGCCACCAUUUUGCGCUGUAUGUAUUGUAAUUAUAUCAAUGUUUGACGUUCUCUCCGGGGGCCGUACACACAUUCGUUUGUUUUGUGGAUUUCAUGGGCUGCGGUGCACAGAGCACACUCGGCGGUACUCGACGCGGCGCGUACGUUUGGCUAUGGGGCAACAAUUUUGAUCUAGUCAUUGGCGGAUUUGGUCGAAUGCAGACUUUAAAUCGUAGCCGCCACCGCGUUCAUGAAGCGGCAAUCGAAAGCGUUACCGGUAGAGGAAAUUGAUCAAAAUUAUGAACAAGAACAAGAAUCGCUCAGUAGGCAGUGCUCCAGCCAUUGUAAAGACUGUAAAUCAAACAUUAAAAACGAAUCGCUGCGAACCCUCUGGGGUGGUGCGUCCUCCGGAUUGUGCUUUGGGAUGGGUUGUGAGUGACGACUAACCGGACUUUGAAUCGUAUUGGCCCCACGGGACCGUGCUUUUUUGUAAAUAGCACCGUGAAAAGGACGACAAUAAAGAAUCUUAUACACAACUGGACUAGUUUUGUGAGUAACAGUUACGGGUGGAGCAAACCUUCUGACCGACACAGUAUCGCUGCUUGAUGCAACGUUGAAGUUUCCCGACCGGACGACGCCUAAAUUUAUACACGAACUACUCGAUCGUUUCAAGGUACAUUUAUGCAAAACGAAAACGUUACAGUAAGUCAUGAAAUGUGGCCAAAGAUACGCAAUUUAAAGUGAACGAAGUAAAU